GACGAACGCUGGCGGCGUGCUUAACACAUGCAAGUCGAACGGAAAGGCCCUGCUUUUGUGGGGUGCUCGAGUGACGAACGGGUGAGUAACACGUGAGUAACCUGCCCUUGACUUUGGGAUAACUUCAGGAAACUGGGGCUAAUACCGGAUAGGAGCUCCUGCUGCAUGGUGGGGGUUGGAAAGUUUCGGCGGUUGGGGAUGGACUCGCGGCUUAUCAGCUUGUUGGUGGGGUAGUGGCUUACCAAGGCUUUGACGGGUAGCCGGCCUGAGAGGGUGACCGGCCACAUUGGGACUAAGAUACGGCCCAGACUCCUACGGGAGGCAGCAGUGGGGAAUAUUGCACAAUGGGCGGAAGCCUGAGGCAGCAACGCCGCGUGCGGGAUGACGGCCUUCGGGUUGUAAACCGCUUUCGCCUGUGACGAAGCGUGAGUGACGGUAAUGGGUAAAGAAGCACCGGCUAACUACGUG
rnacentral:rRNA from 1 species